ACAACUAUAUCACGUUGAAACACAGGUUCCGGUAAGAUCAUCGAAGUUAAGCAACGUCGAGUCUGGUCAGUACCUAUAUUGUUGACCGCUUGGGGAUACCUGGUGCUGUAAG